rnacentral:lncRNA from 1 species
GUAAGUGCAGACAUUAGAAGCCACUGAGACUCUGGGACACAAGAGGCUGACGAGGGGAACGAAACUGGCCUCAAGACCAUCACGUAGAGACCAUUGCGUGGAGACGGGUCUCUGCAGGGGGUGUGCCUGCGUGGGGAGUGGGGCUGGGGGCCCUCUGGGGGCAGAGCUGUGCCGCCCACUGCUAACCCGGGUGCCCAGAGCCCUCCUGGCACACAGUCUGUUCUUGCUAAGCGUUUACUGAGUGGCCUCCUCAGAUCUAGACCCAGGUGGCAUGGACAGCCAGGCUGGGGGGUGGGGGCACUGCCUCGGUGACACCCCUACCCAAACCAUCUUCGCAGGGAGAUUUGGCUGCUGACCCGCGAAGAGAUGCCAGAGGGUGCCACCUUCCAAGAGCGCAAGGUCUGCCCAUGAGGUCUCAGCCACUGCCGGACUCAGACUGACUGUCCCUCCCUCCCAGGCACCACAGUCAGAGCCGGGUUCUAACUCUGACUCUGCUCCUCCUAAGACUUGGGCAAUGCGCUGAGCAACUAGCAGGUAGGAGACAGUGUCUCAGGGAGGCUGGGGGUGUGCACGUACAGCUCAGGGAGGCCCGGAGUGCGGACAUACAGAUCAAGGAGGCCAGGAGUAUGAACACAGAGCCCAGGGAGGCCAGGGGUGUGAACACAGAGCCCAGGGAGGCCAGGGGUGUGAACAGAGAGCCCAGGGAGGCCAGGGCUGUGAACAGAGAGCCCAGGGAGGCCAGGGCUGUGAACACACAGCUUAGGGAGGCCAGGGCAUAAACACACAGGUCAGGGAGGCCCAGAGUAUAAACACACAGCUCAGGGAGGCCAGGGUGUGAACACACAGCUCAGGGAGGCCAGGGUGUGAACACACAACUCAGGGAGGCUAGGGUGUGAACACACAGCUCAGGGAGACCAGGGUGUGAACACACAGCUCAGGGGGCCAGGGGUGUGAACACACAGGUCAGGGAGGCCAGGGUGUGAACACACAGCUCAGGGAGGCCAGGGUGUGAACACACAGAUCAGGGAGGCCAGGGUGUGAACAUGAGCUUAGGGAGGCCAGGGUGUGAACAUGAGCUUAGGGAGGCUGGGGUGUAAGCAUGGAGCUCAGGGCCAGGGCACCUGGCAGACACAUUUUCCUUUAAGAUGAGAGAGAGACCCUGAGAUCCUACUUAACCAGGGGGCUCCUACACAGAUGGUGGCAAUCGUCAGAGCCUGGCGGGAGGUGGGAGGGAG